rnacentral:rRNA from 1 species
CCUACGGGUGACAGCAGUGAGGAAUAUUGGUCAAUGGGAGAGAUCCUGAACCAGCCAAGCCGCGUGAGGGAAGACGGCCCUAUGGGUUGUAAACCUCUUUUGUCGGAGAACAAAACCCGGGACGUGUCCCGGACUGCGUGUAUCCGAAGAAAAAGCAUCGGCUAACUCCGUGCCAGCAGCCGCGGUAAUACGGAGGAUGCGAGCGUUAUCCGGAUUUAUUGGGUUUAAAGGGUGCGUAGGCGGUCCGUUAAGUCAGCGGUAAAAUGGCGGGGCUCAACCCCGGCGAGCCGUUGAAACUGGCAGACUCGAGUUGGCGAGAAGUACGCGGAAUGCGCGGUGUAGCGGUGAAAUGCAUAGAUAUCGCGCAGAACUCCGAUUGCGAAGGCAGCGUGCCGGCGCCAGACUGACGCUGAGGCACGAAAGCGUGGGGAUCGAACAGGAUUAGAUACCCUUGUAGUC